UUUAAAAAAGUGGAUCUGUUUUCCAAGACAUUACAACAAAAGAGACAGCAACUUCCGUUUUGAUGCUUUUAAUUUGAUAUCCAAAGGAAGUCACAUGUCAAUUUCAUGACAGGAAGUUGACACAGUUGUUUAUCUUCCGUCAGCGGCGCCGGUGGAGUUGUAGCUAACGGAGGAAUAUAUCCGCCCAGUGCGUUGUUGGAAAGGAGUGACAGUCAAAGGCAAAAGAAGACAGAGAGGGCACCUUUAUCCUGGCUGCACGUGGGAGUGGUCACGCAGCUGGCCCAAGAGGUGCAAUCAGUGUGAGCCACAGGAAGUCAGAGGGAGGAGAGCCACAUGAGGCAGCAGCAGCUGCGUUUCACAGAGGAGAUCUCGAUCUUCGAGAGAGCAGGUCAGGAGAGGAUGGAGGGCGAGGAGGCUCCAAGC